rnacentral:rRNA from 1 species
UACGUAGGGUGCGAGCGUUGUCCGGAAUUAUUGGGCGUAAAGAGCUUGUAGGCGGUUUGUCGCGUCUGCUGUGAAAAUCCGGGGCUCAACCCCGGACUUGCAGUGGGUACGGGCAGACUAGAGUGUGGUAGGGGAGACUGGAAUUCCUGGUGUAGCGGUGAAAUGCGCAGAUAUCAGGAGGAACACCGAUGCGAAGGCAGGUCUCUGGGCCACUACUGACGCUGAGAAGCGAAAGCAUGGGGAGCGAACAGGA